rnacentral:sRNA from 1 species
CUGCCCUCAUAGCAGAGGCUCUGAAAAAGAAAUUUGCUUAUCGGUAUCGAAGUGAUAGCCAAGAUGAAGUUGAAAAAGGAGUUCCAAAGUCUGAAUCAGAGGCCACCUCAGAGAGAGUGUUGUCCCUUCCAGCUGGCUUUAUUCAGCCCCACAUGUCCAAGCAUUGUCUGGGAUAGCCUUGUAUUGGAAAACCUGGCCCAUUCUGUAAAUAAAGGCUCCACUAGACUCUCGUUGCAGCAAAAGACCAUGUGGACCACAGACAACAUAGGUUCCAUUUAUCCAACAUAAGAAUCUCACCAGAAUUAAAGCAACCAGCAUCCACUACUUUUAAUCAGGAAAGUUAUAUAUGGUCUGAUGGCUGAAUUUUUUAAGUGUACAUAAUUAUGGUGUCUGAAAUAUUAAUUAUGUACAAUAUGU